GAUCUGUAAUCCACACUCCAGAUCAAAAAUCUGCCUCAGGAUUGGAUUGUUUGGGCUUGUCCUCUUCCUACUGCCUCCAGUAAACUAGUUGAUCUUAACAUAUUCAUUCCUGUGUUUCUUCACUUGAGUGCUGUCUGAUCUGUGACAGUGUGAUCUGGCCUGAAAUGGACUCCAGCAGCUUUGUUCUUUGCCUCUCCACCCAGAUUCAAGCCGCCGCUGCAGACCCUGCAUCCACGGCCCUAGCUCCAGCUGCACCUCGCACCGCCAGUUGAGCUCCUGGCCUGGGAACCCAAACAUGCCAUUCAUUUUUGUCAAAGCACUACUUGGUGUUCGAGCUGCAGCCCCCUGCCUUUCCCAUUCACCAGUCACUAAACGGAUUGCCUAAUUGCAUAAUCAGCCGGCUGGACGGGCAAGCCAAGGAUUCGGGGACAGCGAUUUGGGACCUGCCUGCACUUCACUGGAUGCCUUCACAAAGGAGAUGAAGGUUUUUGGCUAUUGUGUGUUUGGCAGGGAGGCAACUAGAGUAAAGCUACAGACACGGCAAGGGCUGAGAGAGAAGUGAGUUUCACCAGACCUGUCUUCUUCCUGGUUUCAUUCUGUGUGCAGGCAAGAUUGAGAUGGACCAGUCAAGAUUUAAGGCAGUCCAGGAGUGGCCGCAGCCCAUUACUCACAAGGAACACCAGAUGUCUCUGGGGUUCGCCAAUUUGUACAGGAAGUUCAUUUGUAACAGUUCAAUAGCUCCACGACAAACCUCUCAUUUUCCUGUGGUCGUGUGGUCCCCUGCUGCUGGGGAAGCAUUUUACAGAUUUAAAAAGCAUCAAACAAUCUUUAUUUAUAUAGCGUCAAAUCACAGCAAAGGUUAUCUCAUGACGAUUUAAAAAAGCACCAUGAGAAAAGGCGUUGACAUCUGCCCACAUCCUAACCUCUGUUGAUGCUUCAGAUGCCUCAGAGGUUGUUGAAAGAUAACAAGUUACAUCCCUGUGCCUUAUUCUUCCACCCAGAAAAACUAUGAUAAUGAUCCUAGCGGUCAAAGCGGCACUGGGGGAGUAGAAACAGUGACUGGAGGGAACGGAGAGGCCGUUCCAUGUGUGGAUGAACUACAAGAACCUGAAGUACAUCAGGGCAGGCAAGCGGCUCAGCUGGGAACAAAUAAAGCAAUUACCAAGACACUUCCAUAGAUUAUUACAUCUACACACAAACUAGCUGCACAAACACAGAGAAAAUCAAUGACAAUCUGAAGAAGCAGUGACUGACCUACUAAUCAGGAGACAGUGGUCAGCUCCCAGGUGUGAAUGUGGGUCUAUGUAUCGAGAGCAGGGUUGAAAAUACCUCUAAAUGGAUAAAAUACUUCACUAUAUAGGGAGAAGUAUGGAGGAAUCAGUUUUCCUUCCUUUUCAUCCUUCCGAUGGAAUAAAUGUGGGUAGUUUUCCUCAGAUUUUCUUGUCAAGAAAUUAAAACAAUUAGCAGCUCGCCUCUCUGCAGGCUCUGUGAGCUUUCUGUGGAUAUGCUUAAUUAUUUCUUCCUCUCUGCUACAUCUGAUUUUGAUGAAUAACUUACUGGUUCAAGAUCUACAAGAGGGCACUGUGUGAAUACAGGCUUGUGGGGAGCUGAGCCUGGGAACUCCACAAAUUAGGCCAAACACAGCGCAAAUCAGAUCACUCGCGCUACAGCUUCUACUACACAAAGGCGCCGAGAUUUUUUUUCCUGCAUAAAAACGUGUCAUUUAUUCAUGAGAAAAUCCUACACAUCGCAUCUUUAAUUAACUACUUAUGCACAUAUACAUGCGUACAGGUGGGUGGUUGGCUUGUUAAUCAGGUGCUAUGCUUUAAAAAAAUCCAUUAUGCUUCUCUCCUCUCUCUGGUUUCUUUUCCUAGCAAUUUAGUCUUAUGUGAUUGGUCUGUAGUUACAUGAAUAUUGUAAAGGCACUGAGGCCUUUAGACUCAUUAAAAUUGGUUUCUGAAAACUUUUGGUGAUACAAGUUUACUUGUGUUCUUGAAAUGUGCUCAUUGUAAGUUGGUCUUGAGAGCUAUAUACUUUAAAUAAUAGAAUAAAUGAAAGGUCAGGCAGACUGUCUCUAUAUUUGUGUG